rnacentral:rRNA from 1 species
UGGUGAGCUUUAAUACGUCAUCAAUUGACGUUACUCGCAGAAGAAGCACCGGGCUUAACUACGUGCGCAGCAGCGCGGUAAUACGGAGGGUGCAAGCGUUAAUCCGGAAUUACUGGGCGUAAGCGCACGCAGGCGGUUUUGUUUAAGUCAGAUGUGAAAUCCCCGGGCUCAACCUGGGAACUGCAUUUGAAACUGGCAAGCUAGAGUCUCGUAGAGGGGGGGUAGAAUUCCAGGGUGUAGCGGUGAAAUGCGUAGAGAUCUGGAGGAAUACCGGUGGCGAAGGCGGCCCCCUGGACGAAGACUGACGCUCAGGUGCGAAAGCGUGGGGAGCAAACAGGAUUAGAUACCCCUGGUAGUCCACGCUGUAAACGAUGUCGAUUUGGAGGUUGUGCCCUUGAGGCGUGGCUUCCGGAGCUAACGCGUUAAAUCGACCGCCUGGGGAGUACGGCCGCAAGGUUAAAACUCAAAUGAAUUGACGGGGGCCCGCACAAGCGGUGGUGCAUGUGGUUUAAUUCGAUGCAACGUGAAGAACCUUACCUACUCUUGACAUCCAGAGAACUUUGCGGAGAUGGAUUGGUGCCUUCGGGAACUCUGAGACAGGUGCUGCAUGGCUGUCGUCAGCUCCGUGUUGUGAAUUGUUGGGUUAAGUCCCGGACCUGAGUGCAACCCUUAUCCUUUGUUGCCAGCGGUUCGGCCGGGAACUCAAAGGAGACUGCCAGUGCUAAGCUGUGAGGAAGGUGGGGAUGACGUCAAGUCAUCAUGGCCCUUACGAGUAGGGCUACACACGUGCUACAAUGGCGUAUACAAAGAGAAGCGACCUCGCGAGAGCAAGCGGACCUCAUAAAGUACGUCGUAGUCCGGAUUGGAGUCUGCAACUCGACUCCAUGAAGUCGGAAUCGCUAGUAAUCGUAGAUCAGAAUGCUACGGUGAAUACGUUCCCGGGCCUUGUACACACCGCCCGU